rnacentral:rRNA from 1 species
AGCAAAUAGAUACCCGGGUAGUCCACGCCCUAAACGAUGUCGACUGGUUGUUGGGGGUUUGACACUCUCAGUAAACGAAAGCUAAACGCGUGAAGUCGACCGCCUGGGGAGUACGGCCGCAAGGUUAAAACUCAAAGGAAUUGACGGGGACCCGCACAAGCGGUGGAUUAUGUGGAUUAAUUCGAUGCAACGCGAAAAACCUUACCUACCCUUGACAUGUCCGGAAGGCUGCUGAAAGGCGGCUGUGCCCGAAAGGGAACUGGAACACAGGUGCUGCAUGGCUGUCGUCAGCUCGUGUCGUGAGAUGUUGGGUUAAGUCCCGCAACGAGCGCAACCCUUGUCAUUAGUUGCUACCCGCAAGGGAGCACUCUAAUGAGACUGCCGGUGACAAACCGGAGGAAGGUGGGGAUGACGUCAAGUCCUCAUGGCCCUUAUGGGUAGGGCUUCACACGUAAUACAAUGGCGCGUACAGAGGGUUGCCAAGGAGCGAUCUGGAGCCAAUCCCGUAAAGCGCGUCGUAGUCCGGAUUGCAGUCUGCAACUCG